rnacentral:rRNA from 1 species
GGUGAGUAACGCGUGAGCAACCUGCCUAUGACAGUGGGAUAGCCUCGGGAAACCGGGAUUAAUACCGCAUGAAAUCGUAGAAACACAUGUUUUAACGGUCAAAGAUUUAUCGGUCAUAGAUGGGCUCGCGUCUGAUUAGCUAGUUGGUGAGAUAACAGCCCACCAAGGCGACGAUCAGUAGCCGGUCUGAGAGGAUGAACGGCCACAUUGGAACUGAGACACGGUCCAA